CUCUGUGACUCCUACGGGAGGCAGCAGUGGGGAAUAUUGCACAAUGGGCGCAAGCCUGAUGCAGCCAUGCCGCGUGUGUGAAGAAGGCCUUCGGGUUGUAAAGCACUUUCAGUUGUGAGGAAGGUGGUGUCGUUAAUAGCGGCAUCAUUUGACGUUAGCAACAGAAGAAGCACCGGCUAACUCCGUGCCAGCAGCCGCGGUAAUACGGAGGGUGCGAGCGUUAAUCGGAAUUACUGGGCGUAAAGCGCAUGCAGGUGGUUUGUUAAGUCAGAUGUGAAAGCCCGGGGCUCAACCUCGGAACUGCAUUUGAAACUGGCAGACUAGAGUACUGUAGAGGGGGUAGAAUUUCAGGUGUAGCGGUGAAAUGCGUAGAGAUCUGAAGGAAUACCGGUGGCGGAGGCGGCCCCCUGGACAGAUACUGACACUCAGAUGCGAAAGCGUGGGGAGCAAACAGGAUUAGAUACCCUGGUAG
rnacentral:rRNA from 1 species